CCUACGGGGGGCAGCAGUGGGGAAUAUUGCACAAUGGGGGAAACCCUGAUGCAGCGACGCCGCGUGAGUGAAGAAGUAUUUCGGUACGUAAAGCUCUAUCAGCAGGGAAGAAAAUGACGGUACCUGACUAAGAAGCCCCGGCUAACUACGUGCCAGCAGCCGCGGUAAUACGUAGGGGGCAAGCGUUAUCCGGAUUUACUGGGUGUAAAGGGAGCGUAGACGGCAGCGCAAGUCUGGAGUGAAAUCCCAUGGCUUAACCAUGGAACUGCUUUGGAAACUGUGCAGCUAGAGUGCAGGAGAGGUAAGCGGAAUUCCUAGUGUAGAGGUGAAAUGCGUAGAUAUUAGGAGGAACACCAGUGGCGAAGGCGGCUUACUGGACUGUAACUGACGUUGAGGCUCGAAAGCGUGGGGAGCAAACAGGAUUAGAUACCCGAGUAGUC
rnacentral:rRNA from 1 species